rnacentral:lncRNA from 1 species
CCGGCUCCCCGCCGCCACGGCCCGGGCCCGGCGCUCCCCGCCCCGCGCUCCGCCCACGGGGCCGCACGCUCACCUGCGGCCGCCGCCGCCGCCCCCCGCCGCGCCCCGGAGGUGCUGAGGAAAGAGGAGUGGCGGUGGCGGUGCCUGGCUCUGUCCCCGUCCCUAGCCCCGGCCCCGGUCCCGGCCCCCUCCGUCCCGUCGCACCGGGGAUGCCCCAGCCCUCGCGGUCUCCUCCAGCACAGCGCCCCUUGGCCAAAGGCCCUGGUGUCGUGCCGGUGCCGCGGGCACUGGGACACGGCUGAGGCGAGGAGGUGAUUUUAUUUUAUUUAUUUUGGGCCGAGACGUGGAGCUACGCCUGGGGCUGAGGAGCUGGAGCUUGGCUGCAGAGUGCUUGGUGUGUGCCUCUACCCUGUGGGGAGCGGCGUUCAAGCUUCCCCACUGCCUCGCCACACCACUUCCUCUUCCAGGCUCUUAUUUAAAAUAAUUUUUGGUGGUUUCAUAAGCUGUGAAUGUCGUUUUAAUGACAGGGCUAAAGCUGGGUAGGCCCUAGGUCUGUGAGCUCUGGCAUUGCCUCAGCACCUUUACCGUGGGGUGCCGUAGGCCGCAGGCCCUCGCAGGCCACGGGUGUCCUGGCCCAGCCGUCCUUGGACUCAUGCUCUGAGGGAUGGAGCUCAUGAGUGUUAAAGUGAGGUGGUUUGGGGUUGGGUUACAGCACAGGAGCAUGACAAACAUAAAUAGGAGAGAAAAUGCUGCCUUCCUCCUCAAGGAACCAAAGCAGACCUUUGUCAUCGUUUUCUAGCUCAUAUGGGUAAACGUAUUACUAAUUUGGGUGUCAUUACUCUUGCAUUUUCAUCUUAAAUGAGCUCGUUCUGAUCUAGCUGAAAACCGUGAUGAAACUCCCAACGUUUUCUGAGCCGCUAUUGUUUGUCCAGGCAGGUGUGAGGCUGUGUUUGGCAGCUGAGGGUGCUAGAGCCGGCCGUCAGGAGGCUGUGUGUGGAGCCAUCUCCAAAACCCACCUCCCGCGGGUUCAGUGUCCAGCUUCUUUCCAGAAGCUUGCACUUCAUGCUCAAGAGAUAAGUACAGAACUUUUAGAAGUACAGAUCUGCUAUACUUCCAACUAUUUUUACUCUCCUGUUGGCUGCAGAAGAUUCAAGGCAAGAAGAUUCAAGAAUUUUGAAGGCCUUACAGUGGAGUACACGAUACCCCUGAGGAGCACAGUGCAUCGCUCGGUCGUGGGGAUGGCAUAA